CGCUGGCGGCGUGCCUAAUACAUGCAAGUCGAACGGUCUUUCUAUGGAAGCUUGCUUCCACUGAGAAGAUAGUGGCGAACGGGUGAGUAACACGUGGGUAACCUGCCCAUAAGAGGGGGAUAACAUCCGGAAACGGGUGCUAAUACCGCAUAGUUUUCUUGAUCGCAUGAUCGGGAAAGGAGAGACGGCCUUUGUGCUGUCGCUUAUGGAUGGACCCGCGGCGUAUUAGUUAGUUGGUGAGGUAAUGGCUCACCAAGACGAUGAUACGUAGCCGACCUGAGAGGGUGAUCGGCCACAUUGGGACUGAGACACGGCCCAAACUCCUACGGGAGGCAGCAGUAGGGAAUCUUCCGCAAUGGACGAAAGUCUGACGGAGCAACGCCGCGUGAGUGAAGAAGGUUUUUCCGGAUCGUAAAACUCUGUUGUCAGAGAAGAACAAGUUGGAGAGUAACUGCUCCAGCCUUGACGGUAUCUGACCAGAAAGCCACGGCUAACUACGUGCCAGCAGCCGC
rnacentral:rRNA from 1 species